rnacentral:lncRNA from 1 species
GCCUAUCAUGGGUCGAUCCCAGUUGAUAUGUACUGGAGGCAGCCUAAUGGUCAUAGUACAGUACAGUAAUGAUUACAAAGAUGAUAAGAACAAAGGUAAAGUGAUUGAAUAAAUACAAUGUACAGAUUGUCACAAGUUCUAGUAAGUGUGGUCCACUUCUAUUACGAUUUAUUCACUUGUUUUUUAUUUCUAUUGAGCUCCUAUAUCAUAUGU